CGGGGUGAGUAAUGUCUGGGAGACUGCCUGAUGGAGGGGGAUAACUACUGGAAACGGUAGCUAAUACCGCAUAACGUCGCAAGACCAAAGAGGGGGACCUUCGGGCCUCUUGCCAUCGGAUGUGCCCAGAUGGGAUUAGCUAGUAGGUGGGGUAACGGCUCACCUAGGCGACGAUCCCUAGCUGGUCUGAGAGGAUGACCAGCCACACUGGAACUGAGACACGGUCCAG
rnacentral:rRNA from 1 species